ACCACGCCAGUCGACUCAAUGACAGACUUUAUGAUACAGCACGCGCACGCUAACCAUUCAGCCAUCCAACCCCCCGUAUUCUGUUGGAUAAAGACGCAAGACAGGCAGUACGGUGAAUCAGUUCAUGUGAAGUUGUUGGUCUUAAUAAUAACAACACAAAAUAAAAUAAGGAGUAACAAUCAUGUCGAAGCAAGAAUUCUCAGAUGUUAAGAAUCCCCAAGGAUACCCCCCACAGCAAGGAAAUCCCACGCAAAAAGGAGAUCCCCCGCAACAAGAAGAUCCCUGGCAAUAUGCCCCUCAGCAGGUAUAUCCCUCACAACAAGGAUAUGGUCAAGGAUAUGCCUCACAACAAGGAUAUGGUCAAGCGCAAUACCUAGUCGGUAGCAAUGUUAUUGUAACAACACAGCCACAGCUGUCAACACUCCACGUGACAAAACCCCCGGAUUAUCUGGGAUUCUCCAUCUUUGUUUGUCUGUGCUGUUGCUGUCCAAUUGGAACCGCUUCAAUAAUUUAUUCAUGCGGGUCACGUGAUGCCUUUACUGCUGGAGAUGUGAAAACUGCUCAAGCCAAUGGAUCAACGGCUCGUACUUUAAACUUUAUUGGACUGGUACUGGGUAUUUUAUGUAUCACAGUAUACUGGGCAGCGUAAAAAUGUAGGCUUUCAUUUUUAAAAAAAUAUAAUAAUUAAAGAUAUUAAAAUUCUAUUUUAAAUAGGCCUAUAACAUUUUUCAAUAAACAUUAUUUACGUUGA